AUCCAGUUCUGGAGCUCCCAACACAAGAAGGACACUGAGCUGUUGGAGUGGGUCUGGAGAAAGGCCGUGAUGAUGAUCAGAGCGCUGAAGCAUCUCCCCUACAGGGACAGGCUGAGAGCUGGGGGUCUUCAGCCUGGAAAAGAGAAGGCUCCGGGGGAUCCCAGAGCACGUAAAAAAUUGCAAUUGAUGUGCGCUCCGUGAAGAGAGGGCUUCAUUCACUGCAGAAAUGGAGCUGUAGCACAGGUGAGAGGCAGCAGCUGUUUAAAGUGUGGUUAUACUCAAACUAUGAAGAAGUGUUUACAUUUUCUAAUGGAGAAGACCAAAGUGAUCUUUGGGGGAAGAAAGUAUUUUUGCUGAAAAAAUGUAAGCAUUCUGUAUUUCCUAUCUUCUUCUCUGGGCAAGCGUUUGAUGUUGAUGUCAUGGAAGGAUCGAGGUGCAGCAGUCUUAGCAGAAUGAUGGCAAAAAUGUUUCCCCCAUUCAUGGUUCUACCACUUAUGAAAAUAAUUUUUUAUGUGUGCAACGUUGCAAACCCAUUGCUACUCUCUGAUUUUAGGAACUUCCCUGACUUCUUCAGAGAAUGUUAUCUCAGAAGAUUCAUUAGGGCAUGAUCAAAUGUAUCCCUAUACAUUUAAGAGGAUAUUGAAAUGCGUUUGCUUUGUGGGACAAUGGUGGGCUACCUUCCCUCCCACACAGUAGUUUUACUCAUGAAAAAAACAAAAUUGGAAAAGACCCUUGCAGCCACAUACAGAGGCUUGGCUAGCUGUCAAACCUAAGCCUUCAAAAAUUGCGAGUCUCUUUAUGAGCAGAUCAAGGCUGUGCUCCAUCUCCCUUGACUUUGGGAUUGUUUUGAAUUGUCUGUACUGAUAAAAACUGAGAAUUCUUUUUUUUUUUUUUUUUCCUCUCAAUGAUACCAUGACACAUAAUCAGAUUCUGGGUAAAAUAUAGGCACCACUCAAAGAACUGGCAUAGGUGCCUAUAUUUCACCAAUAGGAACUGAAAAGAAGUGUGUGAGUUUAUAAGAACAGUAGCGUAAGAGUUAAAACUUAGUCCCAUUAGAUUCAGUUUGGCUUUGGAAAACAGUCAGGAUAGCGCACUGGUCAUCCCACUAUCAGACGAAAGUAAAAAAAGAUUACUAUUAAAGUCAAGUCAGUUAUCCAUGAGAAAAAAACCCAGUGCAAUUGUGAUUCUUUACAGCUAUAAAACAGUAGUAGCACCUGGAAAGUGAAGAGAGUGGACUGCUGUCACUGGUAACACCUGAAACAUCAGGCAAAUUACCAGCUAUUGUAGACUCCAGGUCGACUGUAUGGGAAGCUGCAAAAUGAGCAGCAAAAACACCAAAAAAGAAAAACUGUUCUCGAGGAGUUUACAGUAAAAGUUCAGCAUACUUGAACAUUUCAGAACAAGCUGAAAUUGUGAUAAGAAGGAUCCAAUGCCAGGCAAAACUUGGAAAUAACUUUCUAAAAAAUAAACCAAAUAAGGAAGUUUCCCUUUUAAUAGAAGGAAUGAAAGUUUGUCUACAGAGCAGCAGAAACAGUCAUAGUAAUAAUAAGUAAUAAUAAAAUAGUUGUUUUAUCUGCAUCUCUUCCGCUGCUUUCUUCCUUUUUUUUUCUUUUUUCCCCCCUCCUUUAUUCUGCAUUCCACAGCUCCCAAUGAAGAAGUCAUCUGCAGGCCACACCACUGCCUCAGGUGUUACUUAAACAGUUUUUAAACAUGUAUCUCCAUAUGGCCACGCACACCCAACCCGUGUAGGCUGCAUUUCCACCAGUUGUCAUCUGAACCCAGCGCUGCUCCUCCGCCCCCCUUUCCCUCUCCCCUUCCACUUCCUCCUCUCUCCCUCCCAAGGCAGACUGUGGCAGGGCUCUGGGAAACUGUAGGCAAACACACUCAUUUCCAUGAGGCUCUCCUCCUAAUGAAUGCACGCUUCUGAGAUGACCGCGGGCCAUAGGCUCACCCUAAGUAUCUGACAUGGGCUUUCUUGUCAGCAAUAGCAGUUGAUUUGAUGCUCGUAAGGACAGUACAAACUAGUGUGUCACUCAGCAGAUUACUGAGGAACUCUGGCAGGAAAGCGCUUGUUUCAGGCUGCUGGUGUGCUCUUAUUUUUGGAAUGCACAGAGAUGACACAGAUGACAUAUUCAGGAGUAAAUAAGAAAAA